rnacentral:rRNA from 1 species
GAUGAACGCUGGCGGCGUGCCUAAUACAUGCAAGUCGAGCGAACAGACGAGGAGCUUGCUCCUCUGACGUUAGCGGCGGACGGGUGAGUAACACGUGGUUAACCCACCUAUAUUACUGGGAUAACUUCGGGAAACCGGAGCUAAUACCGGAGAAUAUAUUGAACCGCAUGGUUCAAUAGUGAAAGACGGUUUUGCUGUCACUUAUAGAUGGAUCCGCGCCGCAUUAGCUAGUUGGUAAGGUAACGGCUUACCAAGGCAACGAUGCGUAGCCGACCUGGGAGGGUGGUCGGCCACACUGGAACUCAAACGCGAUCCACACUCCUGCGGACAGUCGCAGCCGGCACUCCUCCGCAACGGUCGAGAGUCUGAUCCUGGCACAGCCCGGAAGUACAGGAAAAGUUGGGGUUGGUAAAAUGCAUUAUUAGGGACGAAAAACUGUAUAGGUAGCUGUGGACAGAUUGACGGUACAUAGAAAGCAAGACACGGAUAACUUCGUG